UUUGCAGACGACUUAAAUACGCGACGGGGCAUUGUAAGUGGCAGAGUGGCCUUGCUGCCACGAUCCACUGAGAUCCAGUCCCCGCGUCGCACGGAUUCGU
rnacentral:rRNA from 1 species